UGAGGCAGUUUGUCUAAGGGAAGAUGGGUCACUGAUGUGCUGGGAAUUCAGUACACAUACCCAGAGUGAGGCAUGACUAUGGAGCUCCUCUGCUUUAUUGCACAAUCCCAGGCAGCUAGAAUACCUCUAGCGGGACAGACAAAUUUACCAAGAUCAGAGGUUUAGCAACUGUACACCCAAAAGCUCACCUCCUCCACCUCAGCAAAGAUUCCUGGUGUGUCCACAAAUGGGGGAAAUGUUUUGAGUUGUUAUCCUUUAACAGUUCAGUCUCUCACAGGGAUAGACACUCAUAGAAGAAGGUAGUAAAGGGCAGCAGGGGCUGAGUUACAAGUCAGCUUGGAGAGCUAAGCCUACCUGCGGCUCUGACAAGUGAACCUGCACUACUGGAAGUGGUUUAGGAACAUAAGAAUUCCCAGCCCAUCAGGAGGAGAGCUUAAUAGAAGGCAGGCGUUGUGGCACUGCAGCAGAGUGAGCAGCACACAGCCUCCCCCAGGACCAGCCCCCCAGCUCUCCACCAUCUGUGCAGCUCUGACUUCCACAGUUAGUGGGUUUUGAUAGAUGUUGUUCAGUUGAUUGUUUUACCCCCCGCUUUUUUUUGUUGUUGUUUUGGUAUUUUGUUUUGUUUUGAGGUAUUCUCUGAGGCUCACUAGAGAUUUAAGUAACCCAAUAGAGGUGAUAGGAUGUUUUUCUCAGAAGAGAAACCAAAAUGAGUCCAUUACCAGCAAGCUAUUGCAAAUGUGGAUGGAAUUUAGAGAAUAUGUCAUCACCCAAAAAGAAGACUCUCAGCAUCAGCCAGUCCACCUAGUGUAUUUUAUCAGUAAUACUCUGUGUGUGGUAGUGCUUAUCUGUAUGGUAGCUACUACAUUUAAAAACUUGACCUAUUUUCUGUGACUAGACAGCAUCUGCAUUUGAGUGAAUUUGGGGUAUGGUGUAAAUUUACAAUUAUUUACAAACAGGGCCUUGCUUUUUAACAGUGAAUACUCUGUCUACAUUUCUAACCUGGAGCUGUUUUUUUUCAGUGGUAGAUUUUCUAUCUUUUCAACACUGGUUUAACCAAAAGACUUUUUUUUUUUUUAUUAAGUCUGUUUUUGUACAUCAGCUUUUCAUCAGGAAAAGAGUCAUUCAUGCUCAAGAUCACGUUCCUGUUACACAAAACUGCUAGUUGACAUUAUCAACACCCUUAUUAACUAAUUCUUAAAGCAAGGUUUGAGAUCAUUAUCUCCUUACUGAGCUGCUCAUGUGGAAGCAAAGGCAGACGGAAUGUACAAUAUUCCUCUAGGCCACAAAGAAAUCAUUAGUAGAAAACAGAUUAAAAUCUUGAUUUCUUGUCAAUUAUUUAGAUGACAGUGAUUUUUAGAUGACAAUUAUUUAGAUGAUUAUUUAGCCUUUUCCUUGCUAACUUCCCCUGUUGUUUAGCACACUAAUACAACACAGUGCUUCUUAGAACACUCAAGUUUUGGUCCAGUGUUUCCAGUAACUACAGUAAUAAUGGCUGAACCCUCUUGGGUUUAGUGCAGAGUCCAAAAGAAGAACUGAAAUACAGAUAAAGCACAGCUCUAGGAAUGGGGCUUGGUUUUGAAACUUUGAAAGGUGAGGCUACCCAAACAGAUCACUAGGUAGUAGCUAACUAACCUCUUCCAGCUUACUGGAAAAGAAACCUCACAGUUGUUUCAUAACCUUAGCAAAUCUGUCGUAUUUUACAGAAAUAAGGCUAAAUUUCUCCCUUUUAAUUUGAAUCCUGAAUUUCUUCUAGGAGAAAUGUUAACUUUUUCUACAGGAAAAUAUCUGUGAAACUCUACAAUAUGGUAUAUAGGUUUUUUGGGGUUUUUUUCAGUUUUUAUUAAAAAAGAACCAACAACUUUUAGGUCUUGGCUACUUUUUUACUAUUAAAUAUGUCUUGGCACUUGUCUAGAUUAUGGAGUAAUCACUUGCACAACAUCAUCCUUUAAAUAGGUCAGCCAAAACUCUACAUCCAAAUACACUCUAAGCAUUGCUCAGAUCUCAGACUUUUACAGUUGGGUUCUGUCUCUCUAAUGGUCUGAAUCAAAAUUCUGGAUACAUCCAAAUACCCUGAAGCAAGGGUAUUGCAAAUGCAGAUCCAGCGUGUCUGGCACAAGUCUUUCAUUUUCAGGCUUCUUUUUUUUUUUAUUCUCCUCUUCCCCACCCCCGUCUCCUCCUUUUAAAUUAGGGCAAAAGCACAUUGUUAUUUCAAGAAAUCUAGAAGAGACUAUUUUCCAGGUUGGUUGAUAUUCAUAUGUGAAAAAUGAUAAAGUGAUUAACUUUCAAUUCAUCUUGAGUAAAACCCACAGAGAAGAGUAAAAACAUGGAAAUUCAGCACAUAUGUUUUAUAAAGAAAACCUAUUGUCCUCUCUGGGAGGUUUUAUUUCCCGAGCCUUUUAGGCAACACUUCUUUGGCCCAUAAAUCAGUAUGAAGGAGGUCCUGGUGCUCAAGCCUCUGCUACUAGCUACAGCUGCAAAAGGGUUAUAUGUGUAGUAGGAUAGGCCCCAAAAGUCUGGAAGAGUCUUCUCAGGACAUUACAGUAGUUGUGAGUAUUUGAGGUAAUCACAUUAUAUACAAUACUUAUUGUUUUAUUGUGGCUGAUACUUGGCUUUCUAUCCUUAAAGCAGAGUCAGAACACUAAUUAAUCCUGAACCAUCACAGUGACACAUUUUCCAGAGGAUUUGCAAACUGAGACUGAUUUUUCCAUGGUUUUUUAAUGUCUCCCCUUUUCUUGAUUUCUUUUUUGGCUCUAUGCUGUUGCCACAGACAAGCAUAGGAUAAGAUCUCAGUAUUUGUUACGUCUUGCCCUCCAGGAUAUAAUUUUUCCUAACUAUCUUUAAUUGAGUGGAAUUAACUUUCCUUUAUAAGUCUACAAAAUAUAAGGUGUGCUCAGAUGCCUAAAUACAAGUAUUAGCAUUGUGUUAACCCACUCUACUUUUGUGACUGUUCUGUCUAGAACUGCAUACCAGAGCUUGGUUUUGGCAUACUGGAGCCUGUCUUCUAGCUGCGGGUGCUUAUAUUCCAGCUCUUCCUUCAUAAAAAAAUUAACUUAAUAUUUACAAAUUAUUUUGUGCAUAAUGACUAAUGGGAUUUAUAGAUACUUUCUUCUAUUCUUGCCUUUUUAAUCAUCUGCUGAUGAUUAAAAUUCACUUAAAUUUGCUGGUUUGGCAUUUCUAUCUCUCUCUAUCAUUCUUGCAAUGACAGUUUCAAUGCCCCAUUCAUCUCACAAGUGCACUUUUACACGUUGUCUCAGAUUUCAUCUGCACCUUUUCCUCCACUGUGCCUUGGUUUGUCCUCACCAUUGUGUCCCUCAGGCCAAGAAAUUCAGACUACAAUGGCAGCUUUACUUCCGUAAAGACUAGAUUUGGGAAAUAAAAAAUAUAUUAUCCCAAGCUGGUCACAUGCCUUCUCUAACCACCAGCAGUCUCAGUACUUUAUCUUGUCUUUCAUCUUUUAUUAAUUCACAACUUCUACUUCCCUUUUUUUGUCUCAUCCCAUCCAAAUUCAGAGGGGGAGAGGUCUGUGCCAAAGACAGCUUUCUCCCUCAGCUCUAUCUCUAGCACAAGUGUGGGUGCUAGUAAAUGACUAAAAUCUCUUCAGGCAGACGGAAGGCACAGUGCUGCCCCAAGGACUUCACUGACUAAAGGCUUCAACUGUUUUGCUAGCUGGGUCAUGCUGCUCUUCCACAUGGCUCAGCACCCUCUUUGACAUCUGUUGCGGAGGGGUAACUUGGAUAAGGAUUGACCUUUCCAUCUCAUUGCAGAGUUAAAGCUGGGGUAGCACUUGCAUACUAGGACAAUGUCUGAAAGUCCUCCUGAGGACUCACUCCACGUACUAAGUACUGCACUAGAGUAGUCCUCAUCCCAAAUAAGUCAGUCUUUGGUUUUUUUUUUUCAUUUAAUUUUUAUUUUAGCCCAAAUAACAAUAUUAGGACACACUGUGCUUGGGACCAUGAGAAAGGAGGUGCCUGUUUUACGUUCCUAAGCUGUAAACACUGACUGCAAGUUUUGCUGCUUUUUUUUCAAGUCCUGGUUACUAUUGACACGAUUAGCUUGUUGUUUUAUAAUAGCACCCAGAUGUCCCAAUCAGGGUCCUGCUGUGUUCAAUAUCAUAGAAAUAUAUAAGAAGAAACAGGCUAUUCUCUGGAGAACUUAAAAUUUUAUUUAGGAAAUAAAUAUAGUAUUGUAAAAAAGGUGAGAUAGGCAUCAGGGUGACUGGUUGCUCUAGGCUGGUACUGGUCACUGAAGACUAGUGCUACAUCAUGCACUAGGACUUCUAUGUAUUGGAGAGCACUGGUCACUGUCCCUCUGUGGCUCUGUCAUCAGCCAUCAGUUGGUUUCAGGAGCAAGUCCUGAAACAGAACUUGAAGCCAAUAAGAUGAAUUUAGUAGACAAAACCAUGCAGACUGAGGGUGGGGCAUGUGGCUUGGUUUGGUUAUUUUCUUUAUUGUCCUGACAAGGGGACAGCAAAUCUCUGACAAGGUAAUUCUGGGUAGACUUGUGGAAUAAAAGCUGCAGAAAAGUACUAAAGGGGAAAAAAGGCUCCCUCAUGCAGCAGUGAAGGGACAAAGUUCAGAUGGGGGAUGGUCAGAUCUCAGUGAGGAAAUGGUGUAAUAAAGGCUGGAACUGAAAGAAUGAAGGAGACAAAAGGGAUUUCAAAAUGUUAGGUAUUUUUAUUUCAUAAAAUGAUAAUUUCCCUUUGGAUCUGAAACACCUAUCUUUCUAUUUU